CCGCGCUCCCGCCGGGUGUCCCGGGCGGAGAUGGGCUGGGUUAGACGGGGCAGGGCAAACGCCGACCCCGCCGUCCCGAGAGCUUCCCCCGUCCCGCCGGGGCAGGCGCCUCACCUGGUGCUCCUCCAGCUCCUCCACCAGUACCUGGGGACAGAGGGACACACAGACACACACAAAGGACGUGAGUCCGGCGACCGCAGCGCACCGGCUCCGCCGCCCCGUCCCGUCCAGUCCCGUCCCGUCCCGUCGCCGCCCGCCCGGCCCGGCCGGAGCGCCGGCUCCGCGCUCACCUGGGCGGAUUUCUUGCAGGGUCCGGACUGCAGGAACCGUGCGAUCAGAAAUGCCAAAUCCAGCUGUGGAUGGAACACCUAGGAAAAGGGGUGGCUCUGUGUCCUUAUGUGCUCUGGGCUCUGCCAGCCGAAGGACUGGGGAAAUGAUAUCAGUGUCAGGUCCAUCCUCAGAUCUCUGAAUUCCAACUUUGUUCCUCAGAGUGCCUGGAACCCCCAAGUUUUAUUGCAGCAAAUUUACUACUGGGUGUAAGUGACCAGGUUUUUAGGGCCAAAUCCUGCAUUUUUGGCUUCUCCUGGAAGCCUGGGCACAAAGCAUCUGACUGCAGCUGGGAAUUCAUCACCUCUCUCCCUGGACAUGCAAAUUUUACUGGAACUCCCUCAGCUAACUUCCUGAAUUUUUGCCAUGUUAAUAGGUGCUGAUGCAGAUGUAAGAAAUAUUUUAAUUUCUCUCAGCAAUGAAAUGAAACAGAACAUGACCAGACCUCCAGAAGAAGGAAAAAUGUGUUUGCUGGAGGGCAGGAAAACCCUGGAGCUGCUGAUAACUACAAGUCAUUCUGAUCAAAUCAGAAAAAGUGGAUUAAAAGGAAUAAGGUUAUGAAGCAUGAAAAAAUACUCCAAAACAACUAUGGAGGAGGGAAGAGGAAUUUCUGCUCUGACCCUGGGCACAGCCGGCUCAAAAUGGAACCAUGACUUGGGGAAGUACUUCUGGUCAGCACCUCCGUGAUGGUGGAUUUAUAUGAAGGAAGAAACCAAACCAAGCAAAAUUCCAGCCCGCUGGAAAGCUGAGGCUCAGCCUGAGGCUUAGGAACAGCCCACCUCCACUCCAGCUGUGUUCUGAGGGGAGCGGCGGCCCCGGAUCCAUGAAACAGCAAAACUCGUUUGUGGUCCCGUAGAGCAGCCUCUGCCAGCGCCCCUGGAGCCAGGGUGAAACCCGAGAGCUGCCGCAAUCCAAACCUUCUCCACAGCUCCUUUUAUCUUCCUGGGGGGAAAACAAACAGCGCAGAAGCUGGAGCUUUGUGGCUGGGAUGUCGCACAUCUGGUUUGAGCUCCAAGAAAUGCACUUCCACCCCCUCCCCGAAUUGUUCAUGUUAAACAAACAAAACCCCAGCGAUUUUGUGAGAUUUUGGCUCUGGGAUAACUUUGGAGCAGCUUUUCCUGAGAAUUCCAGGCUUGUGCUGCACUUCAUCCCCAGUGGAAGCAGCACACCUCACUUGCAGGAGGGAGGCACUUCCAAAGGGGAACAGCCAUGCCCUGGAACCCCCUUACUGGGAAUGCUGCUGGGAGUGGGAGGGGAGAGGGGUCUUGACCACUCUGUGUUUAGGUUUCAAUCCAGCAUUUUUCCCUGUGUAAUUUAUGCUUCCUCUCCCCCUUUUAAGAAUGUCUGGAAUUGUUUAAGAUGUGUCCAAUUGUAUUAAGUUGCCUUUGAGAGCUUUAUGGUGUCAAUUGGAUUUCCACUCUUAGGAACAGAGCUUUCCAAUUUGCUGUUUUUCCUUUUUCUAUCACAUCAGCACCAACUUCCUUUCAGUGCUUUCAGGUGUUACCUCAGCUUGAAGUUCACACUAAUCCCUGGACAUCACUUCCAUUUGACCCUGUUCCAGUGAUUCCCUGGUUGGUGCUGCAGGAGGGAGUGUCAUUCCUCUGGGGUCCUGUCCCACUGGCCCCUCCCUGUCAUCUUCCAGCAGAAGUGGAUAAAUCAGUGCAGAUCAUGGAAUCACAGAGUGGUUUGGGUGGGAAGGGACCUUAGAGCCCAUCUCAUUCCCUGCCAUGGGCAGGGACACCUUUCACAAGACCAGAUUGCUCCAAGCCCCGUCCAGCCUGGCCUUGGACACUUCCAGGGACGGGGCAGCCACAGCUUCUCUGGGAACAGAUGAAAGGUGAGGGUGAAGGGGUUAGGAGCAGUUCUGAUCCUCUCCCUAUCCCCUCCUUGACUCACCCUAGCCCAGUCCCAAUCACACCCCUUCCAGAGCAGGGGACAACAGCCACACGAGUCACCAGUGACAUCUGUCCCCUUCUCCAUGCUCACUUGUGACCACCUCCAGCUCCUCCGGGCACUGGGGCAGUCUGGAAGCCACGCUGACAUUGUUCUCUCAAAGGACAGAGCUCCUCGAAAGCCGCCCAGCGCCGGCCCGGGGUGUUCGCAGCUCCUGGAGCCCUUCCAGGGCAUCAUCGAGUUUCAGAGCGGGGGUGGGGGGUGCUCCCGGCAGCUGCACGGGAAAGGAGCAGCACCACUGAGACAGCCAGAGGGAGGAGCCAUCGUUUCCAUUGCAGACAUUCAAUUUUCUUCCUCCUUCAUCAGAUUAACACCAGUGUCACUCCAUUAACUGCCAGGGAGCUGCUCUUGAUCUGAAAAUCAGACCUUUCUGAGUGCCACAGAAUCCCAGACUGGUUUGGGUUGGAAGAGACCUUAAAUAUCCUUUGGUUCUGCCCCCUGCCAUGGGCAGGGACACCUCCCACUCUCCCAGAUUGUUCCAAGCCCCAUUCAGCCUGGCCUUGGACACUUCCAGGGAUCCAGGGGCAGCCACAGCUUCUCUGGGCACCCUGUGCCAGGGCCUCCCCACCCUCACGGGGAAGAAUUUCUUCCCAAUAUUCAAACUAAAUCUGUCCUCCACCUUAAAGCCCUUUCCCUUUGUCCUGUCCCUCCAUCCCUUGUUCAAGGGCCCUCUCCAGCUCUCCUAAAGCCUCUUCAGGCACUGGAAGGGGGCUCUAAGCUCUCACUAGAGCUUUUCUUUCCCAGGUGAACACCCCCAGCUCUCCCAGCCUGGCUCCAGAGCAGAGGGGUUUUCUUAUUUUUUUGUGUACAGUCACUUCCCUCAAAGAAGCAAAGGUAAAUGUGGGAUGAACCUUCAAAACCCUUCCUUUUAUGUGCUUGGAGGGGUUGUUUUAUUUUAUUUUCCCCACUUCCCCCUUUCUUUUACAUCCCAAGGACCUCACUGUGUUUGCCAUUCUCUUGCUUGCUGAGGCAGCAGUGCCUUUUCCCUCUGUGCUGCUCCAGCACGGUGCUGAUGGUGGAGACCAGGAUGAAGUCUGGAGGUGCCUCCUCUGAUUUCCUGGCCCUCCCAGGACAGUGACCAGUGUUUUCAAAGUGGUUUUCAGUGGGUUUAUUGUUCUGAGCAAACAAAAGCAAAUGCUUGCCCAGUUCUGUUGAAGAUCCUGUGAGGACACUGUGUGAGGACACUGUGCUGCUCUGGGAGCCUGCACCAAAAGCUGGAUCAUGGAAUUACAGGAACAUUUAGGGUGGAAAAGCUCUCCAAGCUCAUUGAGUCCAACUGUUCUCCCAGCACUGACAAGGCCACCACUGGCCAUGUCCCCAAGUGCCACAUCUACAGUUAACCCCCCCUGGGAGGUGACUCCAACCCUUUUUUCCCUAAUAUCCAACCUAAACCUUGUCUGGUGCACCCUGAGGCUGUCUCCUCUCAUCCUGACCAGCUGCCUGGACACCUCACCAUGCCAGGGUGUUGCCAACACCACUCAAAUCUCUUCCCAUGACAUCACCUCAGAACCAUCACUACCUUCACACCCAUGAAUCUCUUCACCUUUGCAUCUUCAAGGUCCCCAGUUGUUAUGAUGAAUAAUGAUAACCAGAUCCACAGCAAUCUGGGGGUGUUUCCUAACCAGCAUCAGACCCAGUAACACCUGGAACCCAGGGAAAGAUCAGCAAGGACCCUGGGGAAGGCACUUUCUCCACAAAUUCCAAAUAAACCUGAGAGUUUGAAACCUCUCCUUUCCAGACAAAAUAAGCCAAGCUUGGGAGCUGCCAUGGAGCUGGCUUUGGAUUGUGUCUAGACACCAGGAGAGCUGUGGAGGAGGGUUUGGCAUAAACCAGACAAUCCAUUCAGUUGUGCAACUUUCUCAAUACCCCAUGGCUCCAAAAAGUUAUGAAUUUGAGCAAAAUGUUCUUGGGCAAUUUUCUGUACUUAUUUGAAAGAGGAAUUUGAUUAGAACAAUAGUUAUAGAAUUAAGAACAACUCCCACCCUGGCACUCAAAAAGAAAUAACCAAAACCAAACACUCAGUUGUAUGCUCUGUGUAACAACCUCUGGACUCAGAUGGAGAGACACAACUUGGGAUCAGAAUGACCUCAUUCCAAAGGGUGUUUGUACCUUGGCAGAUGGAUGGAUCCUGUGCUAAGGAAAUGUCAACUGUACUCAGGGUCUGCUGCUUCAAUCACAAUGCUUGAGACACUCAGUGACUGGAGGCUGGAGCCAAAGAGAGGGAGGAGCCGUGGUCCCACUGGCACCAUGGCUGGGAGAAGGGGCUCUUUAUAGAGAAACCACUGGGGUAGGAAAUAACACAAAUCUAAAAUAUUUCCAACAUGCAUUCUCUCCCUGGAGCAGGCCCAUUGGGAUUUCUCACUGACUGCUGGCUAAACUUAUGGAAUCAUGGAAUCCUGGAAUGAUUUGGAUGGGAGGGGAAUUUAAGAGAUCAUCUAAUCCACCCCCUGGAUUAGAUGAUGUCCACCCUAUGGGCAGGGACACCUUCCCCUUUCUCAUCUGCUCCAAGCCCCAUCCAACCUGGCCUUGGACACUUCCAGGGAUCCAGGGGCAGCCACAGCUUCUCUGAGCACCCUGUGCCGGGGCCUGCCCACCCCACAGGGAAGAAUUCCUUCCCAAUAUCCCAUCUAACCCUAACUUCCAUUUACAAUAAUUUCCCCUUCUCCUGUCAUUUUGUGCCUGUAUGAAAGGUCCCUCUCUCUCCUCCUUACGGGCUCCCUUAGGCACUGGAAGGGGCUCCAAGGUCUCCAGAGCUCUUUUCCAGGCUGAACACCCCCAGCUCUCCCAGCCUGUCUUUGUGGAGUGGAGAUUUGGUGAAUUAUUUUUAGAUGUCAGUCAGGAUGACAUUUCAACUAUUGUUGGACCAUGUUCCAGCUGGGAUGUUCAGUCUCCCUGCUUUUACCCACAUCUCAGCACACUCCACCAGGCACAGGGAAUCCAGUUACUGCUCUAUCCCUUUUCACUGGAGGAGAGACCAGAGCAUGGCCCAGAAUCUCUGCUGGAUCAAGGGAAUACAGUGCCAAGGAAAAGGCCCCCAGAACUCCCUCACCUUCACUGCUGAGGAAGCUGGAGCCCAGUGAACCCUGAGUGUUUGUACAGGACAGGUAGAGCAGCAGGAAUAACAUCCCCCAGUGCCUCAGGCCUGGAAAAUGAAAUCCACAUUUAGACAUCCUCUAGUGGCCCUGGGGGACUCAUCCUGAGCCCCACUGCAUCCAGGACACUCUCACUGAGGGGCUCUUUGGGGUUUGGACACAAAACAUUUGAGCUCUUGGAUUGCUGGGCUGAGGAACAAUUGAAUGGGAGAGAGGUUUCUGCAUUGCAGACAUUUUUCUUUUUAUUAAAUAUAUCCUGUAGAUAUAUCCUGGAUGUGAAGAGACUUUCUAUAAAAGCAGGUUUUAGCAGGAGUUGAUAAAGUUGCACAAAAAAGCUGUAACAAGAGAACUGGGACUUAACCCCAGGUCACUGGUCUGGUCCAGUUCUUUCCCAGAAUGAGGAGGCCUGGAUUAAUGGGAAGUCACACAACUGAGGCAGAGAGGGGCUUCAGCCCCAGCCAAAAGCCCAAAUGGGCUCUCCCUCUCCCACUGCAGCUCUCCUGGAAUUUGGGACCUUUCCAGCAGCACAAGCAACAAACCACAAUCAGCUUUUGAGGAGUCUUUUUUAUUAAGAUAAAUCCAGCAAAAUUCCUAACAGUGGGUACAUACAACCAACCUGCCCUUUUUGAAAAGAAAUGUUUGUAUUUCAUUUAAAAACAGGAUUACACUUUUAUUUAUUUAUUUUUCUUUUUUUUUUCAAAACUGACAAAAUAAAAUUACAUUUGGGAAACAACAGAU